GAUGAACGCUAGCGGCAGGCUUAACACAUGCAAGUCGAGGGGUAACAGGGGAGCUUGCUUCCGCUGACGACCGGCGAACGGGUGCGUAACGCGUAUGCAAUCUACCUUAUACUAAGGGAUAGCCUUUGGAAACGAAGAUUAAUACCUUAUGGUACUGUUUGAUGGCAUCAUUAAAUAGUUAAAGGUUACGGUAUAAGAUGAGCAUGCGUCCUAUUAGCUAGAUGGUAAGGUAACGGCUUACCAUGGCAACGAUAGGUAGGGGUCCUGAGAGGGAGAUCCCCCACACUGGUACUGAGACACGGACCAGACUCCUACGGGAGGCAGCAGUGAGGAAUAUUGGACAAUGGAGGCAACUCUGAUCCAGCCAUGCCGCGUGCAGGAAGACUGCCCUAUGGGUUGUAAACUGCUUUUAUACAGGAAGAAAUGUUUGUACGUGUACAGAUUUGACGGUACUGUAAGAAUAAGCACCGGCUAACUCCG
rnacentral:rRNA from 1 species